rnacentral:rRNA from 1 species
UCGACGGGGAUGCAAUAUCCUAGUGGCGAACGGGUGAGUAACGCGUGAGUAACCUGCCUCAUACAACGGGAUACCUGAGGGAAACUUCAGUUAAUACGGUAUAAGACCACACUGCCGCAUGGCAGAGGGGUAAAAGGAGCAAUCCGGUAUGAGAUGGACUCGCGUCGCAUUAGCUAGUUGGUGAGGUAACGGCCCACCAAGGCGACGAUGCGUAGCCGACCUGAGAGGGUGAUCGGCCACAUUGGGACUGAGAUACGGCCCAGACUCCUACGGGAGGCAGCAGUGGGGAAUAUUGGGCAAUGGAGGAAACUCUGACCCAGCAAUGCCGCGUGAAUGAAGAAGGUCUUCGGAUUGUAAAGUUCUUUAGUCAGGGAAGAAAGAAAUGACGGUACCUGAAGAAUAAGCUCCGGCUAACUACGUGCCAGCAGCCGCGGUAAUACGUAGGGAGCAAGCGUUGUUCGGAAUGACUGGGCGUAAAGGGUGCGUAGGCGGUUAUACAAGUUAGAAGUGAAAUACCCAGGGCUUAACUCGGGUGCUGCUUCUAAAACUGUAAGACUUGAGUACAGUAGAGGUUAGUGGAAUUCCUAGUGUAGCGGUGGAAUGCGUAGAUAUUAGGAGGAACACCAGAGGCGAAGGCGGCUAACUGGACUGAAACUGACGCUGAGGCACGAAAGUGUGGGGAGCAAACAGGAUUAGAUACCCUGGUAGUCCACACUGUAAACGAUGGAUACUAGAUGUAGGAGGUAUCGACUCCUUCUGCGUCGCAGUUAACACGAUAAGUAU